CUCUCUCUCUCUCUCUCUCUGUGAAUAUGGAUUGUUGAGAUUAAUUAGGUUAUUCUCCCUGCAAAGAGGGAGAGGGCAGUGGUGAUAUAUGGUGUUGACAGAAGAUAGAGAGCACAGAUGAUGAAAUGCAAAUGGAGUCUCUCUGCAUCUCACUCCUUUGUGCUCUCUAUGCUUCUGUCAUCACCCCUUCUUCUUCUUCAGCCCUUCUCUUCUCCCUCCACCUUUCUACUAUUAAUUCCAUGAUUUCUCUGCUAUUGAAGGAAGAAGAGAAAAGGAAGGAAAAGCAUAGAAAAUCAUCAGAGAGUUUUUAGAAUAAGAGAAAGAGAAGGAAAAGCAAGGAAUCACCAGAAAGUGAAGUUACCAAGUGUUGUGAACAUAUUGCAGUGAUUUCAUGGGUGCUACCUAGCUAGCUGGUCUAAUCCCCAAAACCCUGGAGGUAUAUUAAAAGGGUUGUACCUUUCUGGCUAAAAUAGCAAUGUACUUGCCCUAAAGUGGCUGUAACACUCAUAUGAACAUUGAUCCCCAUUUCAAAGAAUACAUGUACUAUAUAUGUUAUUUCAUGAUUCCAUUU